rnacentral:rRNA from 1 species
UACAGAGGUCUCAAGCGUUGUUCGGAUUCAUUGGGCGUAAAGGGUGCGUAGGCGGCGCGGUAAGUCGGGUGUGAAAUCUCGGAGCUUAACUCCGAAACUGCAUUCGAUACUGCCGUGCUUGAGGACUGGAGAGGAGACUGGAAUUUACGGUGUAGCGGUGAAAUGCGUAGAUAUUGGGAGGAACACCAGUGGCGAAGGCGGCUCACUGGACCGGUUCUGACGCUGAGGCGCGAAAGCGUGGGGAGCAAACGGG